rnacentral:rRNA from 1 species
CACGUAGGGGGCAGAGCGUUGUCCGGAUUUGAUUGGCGUAAAGAGCUCGUAGGCGGUUCGGACAAGUCGGGUGAUGAAUUUCGAGGCUCAACCUCGGAAACGCCACUCGAAUACUGCUGUGACUGGAGGUCCGGUAGAGGUCGAGUGCGGAAUCCGUGGGUGUAAGCGGUGAAAUGCGCAGAUAAUCAGGAGGACACCAACGGCG